AGCGAACGCUGGCGGCAUGCUUAACACAUGCAAGUCGCACGGGCAGGGGCAACUCUGUCAGUGGCGGACGGGUGAGUAACGCGUAGGGAUCUAUCUCUGGGUGGGGGACAACCGUGGGAAACUACGGCUAAUACCGCAUGACACCUGAGGGUCAAAGGCGCCUGGGGGAACCGUGGGUGGUCGCCUGGAGCGGAGCCUGCGUACGAUUAGCUGGUUGGUGGGGUAAUGGCCACCAAGGCUGUGAUCGUUAGCUGGUCUGAGAGGAUGAUCAGCCACAUUGGGACUGAGACACGGCCCAAACUCCUACGGGAGGCAGCAGUGGGGAAUAUUGGACAAUGGGCGCAAGCCUGAUCCAGCCAUGCCGCGU
rnacentral:rRNA from 1 species